GGAAGUAAAAGUUGUAACAAGGUCUCCGUUGGUGAACCAGCGGAGGGAUCAUUACAGGACUCGCAAGACUCCUUCACCCUGUGAACCUCACUACAAGCACGUUGCUUCGGCGGGUGUCCCGGCGGGGGUUUUCCCUCGCCGGGGCGCACAGCCCGCCGCCAGCCUACUAUACUCUGUCUCUUUGCGUUGGCAUCUCGAGAAAAAACAAACAAGUUAAAACUUUCAACAACGGAUCUCUUGGUUCUG
rnacentral:misc_RNA from 1 species